AAUAUAGUAACAGUUCUGAUGUGAUAAUCAAGCAAAUGUCUUUAAUACUUUAUGGAAGAUUGAAAACUAAACAAGGACAGAAAAGGCCUUGUCUUUUAUUUGUUGCUUUCUUAUAUGGAAGGAUUCAUCUUGGUGUUUUGCUAGAAAUCAUUGCAUUAUUUUUUUAAGGGCAUAGUUCACACAUAUAAAAUGGAGGGUGCAAGGAAGAGAAAGCUAGCAAUCUGCUCCAGAAAAUGGGGAACUGGAAGAAGGGUUGGAGGUACUUCAAGAGGAUGUCUAUCUACCCAAUUAAGAGUAUCCUUCUGAAAGUCACUUCAAACUUCAUGUUCAAAUCUAAAGGACACAGAAAUGGACUUCUGAAUCUUUAUAAAGAUAUGGAGUCUUGUGGAGAAUACUCAGAUAUCCAAGUUAUGUGGAAGAUGAUUGAGUCUUCCUCUCCUCAAAACACAAGUAACAAGAAAAGAAUCAACAUGUCUUCAUAUUGUUGUGUGGUUAUUUAAAUGGUGAUGAUUUUUUCUUGACGGAUGGAUGAGUCCAAAGGUUUAAUGAAAGAGUAUCAUAGGUAGAUAGAUGUAUGAGAAAGGGGAAUCAAAUUUUCUUCGAGUUCCACUCCUUCAGCGUCUACUUUUGAAUUAUUCAGUAUCAGCUGAGUUUUAGUCUAUAUUUUGGGUCUACAUUUCAGAAGUAAAGGUCUGCAUUAGAGUUUGUAAAUUCAAGUUGCAUACUAUAUAGUUUUAAAGCAACCCUGAUGUUGCUUUCAUUUGAAACCUAGUGUGGGAAUUACUAAACAGGAAACCAAAACAUAUCACCAAAUUAUGUUUUGUAGGACAAAUAUAGUUCAACAAAACAGAUGAACAGAAACCAAAAAAUAGCCCAAAGCAUUGCCAUCCAUUUCCUUCAGAAAAGUAGAGCUGCUCCAUAAAAGAUGCAGAAAUCACAUAAACUACGCAUUCUUCUGAAUGCCAGCGUGAUAUAUCAAGUUAAUAUUGGUGUUGCCAGUGCAAAUUACAGUUUACCAAUAUACAAAUUGGCCAUUUCUAUUGUGUAUCAGUUUCUUCUGAAAACCUUACACAGAU